rnacentral:piRNA from 1 species
UAACACUUACUAAGUGCUGUCUUUUCUA